AUUGAACGCUGGCGGCAGGCCUAACACAUGCAAGUCGAACGGUAACAGGAAGCAGCUUGCUGCUUCGCUGACGAGUGGCGGACGGGUGAGUAAUGUCUGGGAAACUGCCUGAUGGAGGGGGAUAACUACUGGAAACGGUAGCUAAUACCGCAUAACGUCGCAAGACCAAAGAGGGGGACCUUAGGGCCUCUUGCCAUCGGAUGUGCCCAGAUGGGAUUAGCUAGUAGGUGGGGUAACGGCUCACCUAGGCGACGAUCCCUAGCUGGUCUGAGAGGAUGACCAGCCACACUGGAACUGAGACACGGUCCAGACUCCUACGGGAGGCAGCAGUGGGGAAUAUUGCACAAUGGGCGCAAGCCUGAUGCAGCCAUGCCGCGUGUAUGAAGAAGGCCUGCGGGUUGUAAAGUACUUUCAGCGGGGAGGAAGGGAGUAAAGUUAAUACCUUUGCUCAUUGACGUUACCCGCAGAAGAAGCACCGGCUAACUCCGU
rnacentral:rRNA from 1 species